rnacentral:rRNA from 1 species
CGGUUGAUCCUGCCGGAGGCCACUGCUAUUGGGAUUCGAUUAAGCCAUGCGAGUCGAGAGGGUUCGGCCCUCGGCAGACUGCUCAGUAACACGUGGAUAACCUACCCUUAGGUGGAAGAUAAUCUCGGGAAACUGAGAAUAGUACUCCAUAGAUCUAGGCUGCUGGAAUGCAUCUAGAUCAAAAGCUCCGGCGCCUAAGGAUGGGUCUGCGGACUAUCAGGUUGUAGUCAGGGUAAAGACCUGACUAGCCUACGACGGAUAUGGGUUGUGAGAGCAAUAGCCCAGAGACGAUAUCUGAGACACGAUAUCGGGCCCUACGGGGCGCAGCAGGCGCGAAAUCUUCACAAUGUGCGAAAGCACGAUGAGGGAAUCCCAAGUGCUAGCACGUAAGUGUUAGCUGUUUCUUAGUCUAAAAAACUGAGAGAGUAAGAGCUGGGUAAGACGGGUGCCAGCCGCCGCGGUAAUACCUGCAGCUCAAGUGGUGGCCGCUAUUAUUGGGCCUAAAACGUCCGUAGCCUGUUUAGUAAAUGCUUGGGUAAAUUGUGUAGCUUAACUAUACGAAUACCGGGUAGACUGCUAAACUUGGGACCGGGAGAGGCUAGAGGUACUCCUAGGGUAGAGGUGAAAU